CCUACGGGUGGCAGCAGUGGGGAAUAUUGCGCAAUGGGCGAAAGCCUGACGCAGCGACGCCGCGUGAGGGAUGAAGGUCUUCGGAUCGUUAACCUCUGUCAGCAGGGAAGAACGGUCACUGUGCUAAUCAGCAGUGAAUUGACGGUACCUGCAAAGGAAGCACCGGCUAACUCCGUGCCAGCAGCCGCGGUAAUACGGAGGGUGCGAGCGUUAAUCGGAAUUACUGGGCGUAAAGCGCUCGUAGGCGGUAUGUCAAGUCAAGGGUGAAAUCCCCGCGCUCAACGUGGGAACUGCCUUUGAAACGGGCAAACUGGAGUGUGUGAGAGGAUAGUGGAAUUCCAGGUGCAGGAGUGAAAUCCGUAGAUAUCUGGAGGAACAUCAGUGGCGAAGGCGACUAUCUGGCACAUAACUGACGCUGAGGAGCGAAAGCGUGGGUAGCAAACAGGAUUAGAUACCCUAGUAGUC
rnacentral:rRNA from 1 species